rnacentral:lncRNA from 1 species
UGGAUGUGCUUUCUUGAGCUUCUACCUUACAAUGAAAAGCCCAAAAUAAAAUACAUUGUCUGUUACUUCUGUGCCAUCAAGGCACCAACAGUUCUUUUAGAGGCUACACCCUUUCCAGGAAGUGUUUAAUUUUAGAGUUGGAGCUGCUGUGUGGUCUGCUUUGCUACAUAAUGAGCCACACUGAUGAGUGCACUAACGUCAGUGUGUUCCUACUCCUACUAUGUAUAUAAUACAUGUAAAUAUCCCAGUUAAAAUGGGAUUUGGAAUUUUUUCUUCAGAUCAGCACUUAAAAUGAUUGGCUUCUCAGCUACUGUACCACUACUUCCUUAUUUUUCUUGGAAAGUAAUGAUUUUGACAGUAGCUACUACAUGUGCAUCAGAGCAGCAAUAGUAUUCCUUUUAGGUAAACAGAAUAUCCCUGAAAACUGUUUUUACUGCUCCAAAUUCCCUCUUCAGAGAGUAGGAAUAACACCUACAUAGGCUGAACAACACAAGAUGUGCUCAGAUACAUAGAAACAGCGUGGUUUGGUAGUAUAACAGGUUUCAGAUCUUUUGUUACUUUUCUAGAAUCCAGACAUUCUAUGAAAGGGCUCCAGGAGGAAAUGUUAUCCUGCGUAGUAGCAGCAAGAGGUGAAAAAAUACAAAGUAUUAGAGAAGUUGUUAGUUUAAGCAGCUGUCCAUAAGUACUCUGAUUAAUAAUCUGCUGGCAUGCUACUGUGAACUAAUACCAGGAUUUGAGUAUCCUGCAGUUAAGACAAAAGACCAAAGUAACUUGCCCUUUGUAGUUCUGAAGCUGUAUCGUUUUUCUUCAAUGCAGACAUUUAAGGAGGUCUGAAGGUUGGAAUAUUAGCGGCCCUGUGCCGAGUUUAACAAUCCAUUAUUCUUCAGGUGAAGCGAGAUUUUUCUAAAUGGUAAAAAACCCAGAUAUAUCCUGUAAAACUACAGAGGCUGAGAUAACCUCAAGAGAGACAGAAGAGGAGAAACAAUCUGCUUGGGAAAAAGAAAUUCUGCUUCCCUUUAGGCUCUGGAGAAUAAAAAGGAGGGAGAGAUUUCAAGAUUGUGAGAUUUUACAGCUCUGCAGACCCUUAGUUGGGAUAGAUAACACCUGUCAGCCCUCGUAA